rnacentral:tRNA from 1 species
CAUGGGGUAGCUUACACUAAAAGCCCUCAACUUACUAUUGAGCCACGUUCACCACGAACCCCCUUGA